rnacentral:rRNA from 1 species
ACUUUCACACGGAUCUCUUGCUCUCGCAUCGAUGAAGACGCAGCGAAAUGCGAUAAGUAAUGUGAAUUGCAGAAUUCAGUGAAUCAUCGAAUCUUUGAACGCACCUUGCGCUCCUUGGUAUUCCGAAGAGCAUGCCUGUUUGAGUGUCA